AAACGUUGAAGCAGGAGGGUGUGCCGGUAGCAUUGUCCUGUGGAGUUUGCAGAAGGGUUGUGCAAUAAAACCUCAAACCGGUGUAGGCUUUUAGCUGAAAGAAAAUGCUCCAA
rnacentral:ncRNA from 1 species